rnacentral:misc_RNA from 1 species
UGUUUGGUUUGUUACGUGUGGUUGGCUGCGGCGUUUGCAACAACUUCCAUGCUUUCAGACCUCUUCAGUUGUGCGGCAAGGCUUGUAUCGCCUUGAGCGUAUUGUGGGUUUUCUGUGUUGGCUACCUAAUCAACGGUAUCGUUUGGAUUGAUCAAAGUUUGAUUUCGUCUUCCGUCGCGUUUGCGGCGUGAGGUGAACCUUGAUGCGGUCUCUUUGAUCCAUCUCGUCGAAGCACAUGCUUUGACGUUGUGGCACAUUGAGCAUUGCUUGGUGUCUUGUAUACGGAACACGUAGUGGGCAUGGAUCUAACGAUUCUUGUUUGCCCUCGUAUUAGCGUAACGCUUCUCUAACACGACUUGCACCACGUUUUAGCUCGUACGGACGUGGUGCUAUGUCGCAGAGGAAUGCUACCUGGUUGAUCCUGCCAGAGUCANGU